UACGUAGGGUGCAAGCGUUAUCCGGAAUUAUUGGGCGUAAAGAGCUCGUAGGCGGUUUGUCGCGUCUGCUGUGAAAACUGGAGGCUCAACCUCCAGCCUGCAGUGGGUACGGGCAGACUAGAGUGCGGUAGGGGGAGAUUGGAAUUCCUGGUGUAGCGGUGGAAUGCGCAGAUAUCAGGAGGAACACCAAUGGCGAAGGCAGAUCUCUGGGCCGUAACUGACGCUGAGGAGCGAAAGCGUGGGGAGCGAACAGG
rnacentral:rRNA from 1 species